GAUGAACGUUGGCGGUGUGCCUAAUACAUGCAAGUCGAACGGAGACUGUAGCAAUACUGUCUUAGUGGCGAACGGGUGAGUAACGCGUUGGUGAUCUGCCUCGAAGUGUGGAAUAACCUCCCGAAAGGGAAGCUAAUACCGCAUAGUCUCUCAAGGUUUAGAAAAUUGAGAGUAAAGGAUUUAUUCGCUUCGAGAGGAGCCUGCGUCCCAUCAGCUAGUUGGUAGGGUAACGGCCUACCAAGGCAAUGACGGGUAGGGGACCUGAGAGGGUGGCCCCCACAAUGGAACUGAAACACGGUCCAUACACCUACGGGUGGCAGCAGUAGGGAAUAUUAGAAAUGGGCGGAAGCCUGAUCUAGCAACACCGCGUGUGCGAUGAAGGCCUUGGGUCGUAAAGCACUUUUUGGAGGGAAUAGGAAGGAAGGUACCUCCAGAAUAAGUCUCGGCUAACUACGUGCCAGCAGCCGCGGUAAACGUAGCGUG
rnacentral:rRNA from 1 species